AUUGAACGCUGGCGGCAGGCCUAACACAUGCAAGUCGAACGAUUGGCGGACGGGUGAGAAAUGUCUGGGAAACUGCCUGAUGGAGGGGGAUAACUACUGGAAACGGUAGCUCAUACCGCAUACUAUCAGAUUUGCCCAGAUGGGAUUAGCUAGUAGGUGAGGUAACGGCUUACCUCGGCGACCAUCCCUAGCUGGUCUGAGAGGCUGACCAGCAAAACUGAAAAUGAGACACGGUCCAGACUCCUACGGGAAGCAGCAGUGGGGAAUAUUGCACAAUGGUCACAAGCCUGAUGCAGCCAUGCCGCGUGGAUGAAGAGGGCCUUCGGGUUGUAAAGUACUUUCAGCGGGGAGGCGUUACCCGCAGAAGAAGCACCGGCGAACUCCGUGCCAGCAGCCGCGGUAAUAC
rnacentral:rRNA from 1 species